rnacentral:misc_RNA from 1 species
GCAAGAACCACCAGCAGUACAACACUCACCAAGCCGAAACAACGCAUCGUAGUCUUCUCUGUACUGUUCUUGAUCUUGUUGGUGCUCUUACCAUUUCUUGCAAAGCAGCAAGAUUUGCAAAUUUAAAUAACAAAAAGCAGCCCAAGAAUACAAACUUUUCAAGAUAAUGAUUCGUUUCUUGGACUUUAGACGGUCAAGAAUCAAGAACCAAGAAACAAGAAAAAGAAAGCUAAU